UACAGAGGGUGCGAGCGUUGUUCGGAAUUAUUGGGCGUAAAGGGCGCGUAGGCGGUGCGGCAAGUCACCUGUGAAAACUCUGGGCUCAACCCAGAGCCUGCAUCCAAUACUGACGAACUAGAGUUCUGGAGGGGGUAGCGGAAUUCCUGGUGUAGCGGUGAAAUGCGUAGAUAUCUGGAGGAACACCGGUGGCGAAGGCGGCGUCCUGGACCAACACUGACACUGAGGAGCGAAAGCCAGGGGAGCAAACGGG
rnacentral:rRNA from 1 species